CUGACCUACGAUCCCUUGCUUUACUGAACUCAAAUAUAACAGGGUACCUCUGAGUCAGUCUAGGCCACAGGUCACAGGCGAAUGGCAGCAGGAGCAAUUAACAGAUUUCUACGGCUGUAAAUUGUUCUAGUGAGCUGUGAUUAGCUACUCUCAGUAGGGUGGGGGUGAAAAGAACACAGAACUGCUACUCAACAAUGCUGUACAGCCAGUGCCCCAGGAGAAAGCUCAAAUAAAGAUUCUGUAAUCCCGAGCAUGUAAGAAAUGAAGAAAGCUGGAAAGCAUCCCAGUCUCCAGGGCCUCACCGUGGAUGCCUGUCGGUGCCACCGCUGACACUCUGCCAGUGUUUCAAAGGAGACAUGGUAUGUCUGGGCUUGUGCUCCAGCAGAUGUGAAAGCAAGAGUGUACUGCCGACGUUUCAUUUCUUCAACCUGCAAAGGGAGGGAUGAAAACAAAACAGUCUACCUAAAUUCCAGCAAUUACAAUGGAUCUGAAAUCUAGGGUUACAGAAAGCUUAAAAAAAGUUUUACCUUCCCUCCGACAAGAGGCAAGAUGUGCAUCUUCCCUGUGUGGCUGUCUUUAACAGAGGACACGAUGAGACAGGUGCCACAGAGAAUCACUAAGCGUUCCGCCCAUUUGUGCAACUGAGUCUUCCCCUUGCGCACAUUAUAGAUUCCAGAGAGCAGGAUGCGAUCUAACUGUUCCAUCUGACAGGGCUUUUCUGAAGAAAAAAAUGAAUAUUUCUGCUUACUCUCCAUUUGUUCUUCAUUUUCAGAAGGAGCAGUGAACACCACACAGAACAUUAGGAAGAGAUUUCCAGUGUGUUACUGUAAAUGACAAAUCUGUGUGGCUGUUACCUAG